AACCAAGGUCCCUAAAUGUCUCGCUUUUUUCUUUGGUCUGAUUUCGCAUGGUACCAUGGGGGAAAGAUAUGAUAGCUUUAGAGCAGUUUUUGAAAUAAUUACUAUUCAUUUGGGUUUUUCUUUUCGCAUAAUGUAUCAAAACGGUACGAUAAACAAACUGAGGAAUGCUAUAAAGGCCUCCGUUUAACAGAUUAAAAGCAGAAGCACAUUAAAUUCUUCGUCAGAAUGUUUGCCGAGUAUUGAUGCAGAUUUUCACAAGAUACAGCGUGGGUUCAAUGAAAGGGUUCCAAAUCCGUGUUCCUUCUCCCAGUUGUACAAAAAAAACUGGCGGACUUACUCGCUACAGAGACGGCAGUAAACCAAAACCUUGGCUGGAACACCCCGACGGUACAACAACCUGACUCAGUGAUACGAACUACUAAUACGCCCCGGACUACCACAGCAUCACGGAUACCUUUGAACUUAUUGUGUUUAAAGACACCGAAAGUGUUCUAACAGUAAUUAUUGUCCAUGCAUGCGGAAAGAUAUUUUGAUGAAAUCGUGUUAUUGAAAUGGUAAUAAUAUCACGAUAGCUGUUUUAAUUAUAGAUUAGAUCAACACUAGGGGAAUUAUUCACUUCAAAUUGUUUUUAACAUACGGAUAUAUUGUGAAUUCAAAGAGAAAGUUUCGUAUCAUUACUGGUUUUCAUUGCGAUAUUAUUUACAGGAACUUGCCGUGUGAACGAUCACAUGUUUCCGGAAUUACGCGCAUUACAAAUAUAUAUAACCAGAGAAGUAUUGUCCCUAUUUGAAAUAUAAUAUGUAAAUGUAUGUCAUGUAUUGAAACGUAAUAGGGAUAUGAAUACAAAUCCACGUUUUAAUUUAUACGAAUUUUGUUCUAACUAUUCAUACAGAAUAUCAUAGAAAUAUUUUAGUUUUGAAUAUUCUGAUUCGUGUGUGCAACUUUUUAAUUCGAUUUUACGAACUCAAGCUCAUUCAGAAUUCUUUCGGUUCAAUUUCCAAUUAUUUAUUAUUUUGACUAUGAUUUAUUUCAGAAUGAUUAAAGGUCUAGCUGCUUUUACUGAUGUAUAUCAUACAUAUUAUUUUAUAUUUUUGUAGUCGUAUGAAUACUUCAAUAUUGAUAAUCUGUGGAAUUCAAUACAUACUAAGAUAGAAAUAAAUUUAAGGAAUUAAAUGAUCGAUGAAAUAUUUCAAUUAAAUUCUUAGUGCAGUCACAAAUGUUCUUUAACAGUGAGAAUGGUGCGCCCUACAUUGUUUUGAAAAUAUUAUUCGUGGAUUGUUUCAUACAUUUUUCAGUUGAGUCAUUAAAGGUAAGUAAAAUUCGGAUGUGUAACAAAAAAUAGAAAUAAAAUGUUCAAAUGU